rnacentral:misc_RNA from 1 species
GUUGACAGUUGACAUUAAAUCGAUUGGUAAAUAUAAACAAAUUAUAAAUUUUAUAUUAUUGAAUUAAAAUGUAGAGAUAUACUACAUAUUGUGUAUCUGUGCUAUUACAAAAUACGAGAUCGUAUCUAUGAUUCUUUAUGUUAUAUAUGUGUGCAUUAUUAAAAAAGUGGCAAUAAAUGGCUACAGGGGCUAUGCAGGAUACCACCCAAGGGAGUGAAUUUUUACCCAAAAAUUUAAGAUUAUCUUAUGAUCAAGUUUUUGUAAAAGAGGAAGUUCAACAUGAGGAGGAAAGGGACACCCAGGAAGAUGCAUUAAGUGGUCAAGUAGGUAUCUCAGAAGAACUGAAAAAAGAACCUCAAGACGACCUUUCUUAUUCAUCUGAAAUAAAUAAUCAAAAACUCAACCAGAAUGAUAUAAAUAUUUUACUUGACAAUAUAGAACCUUUUAACUGUCCAAUCUCUGGCCGUAUGUUUAAAUGUCCUCUAUGCGAUUUUAAGUCAAGACACAAAGUGAGCCUCAAAAGACACAUCAAAUUACACAACCCAGAACAACUGGAGACUUUCAGAUGUGGUUAUUGCAACUUUGAGACUUACUACGAGCGGCAUUUUAGGGUGCAUGUCAAAGUUCUUCAUUUAGGCGAUGGGGAUAAAAAAGUCUAUCAAUGUAAUCAAUGUUCCUAUGCAAGCAACUACCGAGAAAAUCUAAGUAGGCACAAGAAAACUCAUUUGGCUCCAGAUGAAAGGAGUUCCUUUAUAUGCCACAUAUGCGACUUUCAAACGUUUUACAGAAGAAGUUACAGAGUGCACAUGGAGAUGAUUCACAAUGUUUUAGAUAGUCAGAAGUGUGAAGAAGAAUAUAAGUGUUACCAUUGCCCAUUUGAAACUAGAUAUAGAGUAAAUAUAGUAAGGCACCUUAAAACCCACAUGAAGGGGCGUACAGAGGUAUUUGAAUGUACUGACUGUGACUUUAAAACAAUCCACAAGACAAAUUUUAACACUCAUGUAUUACGACACAAGGACCCUGGAAAAAUAAAGAUCUAUCAAUGCCAGCAUUGCUCUCAUAAGACCUUUUACAAGGCAUCGCUCAGAAGCCACCUUAAGUUACAUAUGAAAAAGGAAGAAGUGGAAACUUACAAGUGUGACAUUUGCGAUUUUUGCACACUUUAUGAAAGAAGUAUUAGGAUGCACACUUUAUAUAUGCAUAGCGGCAAUCAUAGCGCGAUCGAGUAUUUUAAAUGCACAUUUUGUGACUUUGAGACCCGUUAUAGGGAAAACUGGAGAAGGCAUGAGAAAAACCAUGCUAGACCAGGUCGUCAAGAUACGUACAACUGUCCCUAUUGCAGCUUUUCAACUAUACAACAAGGUAGAUAUGAACAUCACUUAUUAAAACACGGUCCAGACUCAACAGAACAGCAACAAAAAAAAGAAAAAGGUUGCAAAAGAUUUAGGGCAGUUGUAGAUGCACCCGCUUUUCAAAAUGAACUCCAUUCAGAAGAGAAUAAAUCAGAAGUAAAUGAUGAUUAUAAGUGCCAAAAGUUCAACAGUGGAAUUCCACAAGAAGAUAUGGAAAUUUUUCAAUGCUGUCACUGCAAUUUUAAGACUAUAAGUCGCAAACAUCUUGAUGAACAUCUAACUGUUCAUAAGUCAAAUAAUGAUUCUAGCCAAGAUAACAGUGAGAUUAACAAGCAUUCCUCUGAAGACCAACUAAUUUUAGAUCAACAUGAGAAGAUAUUUAACUGCGAGGUAUGUUCUUUUACAACUGUGCAUAGAGCCUCUAUGAGAAGACAUAAGGAGACUCAUUUAAAGCCUAAUCAAAGAAAGGAAUAUAAAUGCCCCACUUGUUGUUUUAGGUCCUAUACUAGAGCAACUGUUAAUAGACAUGUUUGCCCUAAUAGGGGUUAAAGUAUAUCUUUUCUGCUUUACGGGAAGAAAAUGGCCCUUUCGGCUCGUUUGUUAAAAAAAGUAAAAGGUUUUUGUCCCCGUAAAGCCGGAAAAUAUUACAUAGGAGGAAAUAAAUUAAGAAUGUCUACUGUAAAAUGGGGCUACUAUAUGCUAAAGUUCUACUUUUAGAAGAAUACUUGUAGAAUAGUUCGACAGAAAGGACUAUUUUACGAAAUUAAUUCUGUGAACAGACGGGAGGGACCACAUUUACAAGAAAUGGAGUGCAAAAUUUGUAUAGGAAGUAGAAAAUCCGCAUAGAUUUUCAUGAAAUGUUUGGGGUGACGUGGUAAAUGAUUUUCUUCGACAGAAAAAAUAAGUAGAAGAAUAAAUGCCUUGCGAUUUUUUCCUGUGGGGCUAUUUGAAAGAGUUGGUGUAUCAUGAUGGAGCAGUAAAUACUCCGGAAGAACUUGUUUUGCUCGAACCUUGUGUUAAUCGAACAAAUGAGUAUAAUUUUGAACAUUUUUUGCAAAAACGGUAAUCAUUUAACUUAAU